rnacentral:rRNA from 1 species
AGGACGAACGCUGGCGGCGUGCUUAACACAUGCAAGUCGGGGGGGGGUAGCAAUACCUCACCGGCGAACGGGUGCGUAACACGUGAGCAACAUUCCGAUUUCUGGGGGAUAGCCGGCCCAACGGCCGGGUAAUACCGCAUACGCUCAUUGAGAGGAGUCUCUUGAUGAGGAAACCUCCGGGGGAAAUCGAGUGGCUCGCGGCCUAUCAGCUAGUUGGCGGGGUAAUGGCCCACCAAGGCAAUGACGGGUAGCUGGUCUGAGAGGAUGGCCAGCCACAUUGGGACUGAGAAACGGCCCAGACUCCUACGGGAGCAGCAGUGGGAAUCUUGCGCAAUGGACGAAAGUCUGACGCAGCGACGCCGCGUGCGGGAGGAAGCUCGUUCGGGUGUAAACCGGCUGUUCGCCCGGAACGAACCGCCAGAUUUGCUGCUUGACGGUACCGGUGAGGAAGCGCCGGCUAACUCUGUGCGUAGCAGCCGAC